UACGAAGGGUGCAAGCGUUACUCGGAAUUACUGGGCGUAAAGCGUGCGUAGGCGGUUUGUUAAGUCUGUCGUGAAAGCCCCGGGCUCAACCUGGGAAUGGCGAUGGAUACUGGCGAGCUAGAGUACGGUAGAGGAGAGUGGAAUUCCCGGUGUAGCAGUGAAAUGCGUAGAGAUCGGGAGGAACACCAGUGGCGAAGGCGGCCAUCUGGACCAGCACUGACGUUAGGCACGAAAGCGUGGGGAGCAAACAGG
rnacentral:rRNA from 1 species